rnacentral:rRNA from 1 species
ACGGAGGGGGUUAGCGUUGUUCGGAAUUACUGGGCGUAAAGCGUACGUAGGCGGAUCAGAAAGUAUAGGGUGAAAUCCCGAGGCUCAACCUCGGAACUGCCUUGUAAACUCCUGGUCUUGAGUUCGAGAGAGGUGAGUGGAAUUCCAAGUGUAGAGGUGAAAUUCGUAGAUAUUUGGAGGAACACCAGUGGCGAAGGCGGCUCACUGGCUCGAUACUGACGCUGAGGUACGAAAGUGUGGGGAGCAAACAGG